AUUGAACGCUGGCGGCAGGCCUAACACAUGCAAGUCGAGCGGAUGAGGAGAGCUUGCUCUCUGAUUUAGCGGCGGACGGGUGAGUAAUGCCUAGGAAUCUGCCUGGUAGUGGGGGAUAACGUCCGGAAACGGGCGCUAAUACCGCAUACGUCCUACGGGAGAAAGCAGGGGACCUUCGGGCCUUGCGCUAUCAGAUGAGCCUAGGUCGGAUUAGCUAGUUGGUGAGGUAAUGGCUCACCAAGGCUACGAUCCGUAACUGGUCUGAAAGGAUGAUCAGUCACACUGGAACUGAGACACGGUCCAGACCACUACGGGGGGCAGCAGUGGGGAAUAUUGGACAAUGGGCGAGAGCCUGAUCCAGCCAUGCCGCGUGUGUGAAGAAGGUCUUCGGAUCGUAAAGCACUUUAAGUUGGGAGGAAGGGCAGUAAGUUAAUACCUUGCUGUUUUGACGUUACCGACAGAAUAAGCACCGGCUAACUUCGUGCCAGCCGCCGCAGUAACAC
rnacentral:rRNA from 1 species